GGCCAAAGUAAAUUUUAUCAGGUAGGAUAUUGCAAAGUCUGCUAAAGAAGCUAAAGAAGAAAGCGUCAGCAAAAAGAAUCUGAAAAUAUGGAAAACAGCAUAAAUAAAAUGGUUCUGUUGGACAGAUUAAGUGAUGAAGACAGAGAAUGUGGAGAGACUAAGAUGAUGGAAUGAUUUCCUUCAGUUACGUGGGAUGAGUGUGCCAAAAUGUUGACCUGGUGUGUGGGCCACAGGAGGUGUUCUUAGGUAGAUUCUUCAUCUCCUGGUGGCCCCAAGAGUCUCAGGUGGGACAGCUUCACCACUGGACCUCGUGGCUCCAUUGGUGGAGUCAUUAGCUGGGAUUCACGCCCAGAAAGAGACCAAAGAAUUCAUCAUUACAAAAUCUGCAUAAGCUUAUGGCGGCCAGAGCAGCUAAGAAAGAUCACUGGAAAAUGGCUAAUGUAUGUAUGCUGCCGCUGUACACACAGCGGUGUCUCCAGAGAGGUGCUGGAGAGUACAAGAGUUGCUGACAGAGAAAAGCAAGAGAAGAGAAAGGAUGGAUCUGUCAGGAAGAGAUGCAGUCAUGGCUCUGGCUUUCUAUGAUAAAGGAGCAUGUGGUGCUCAGAGAUCUGGUUGUGGACAGGCCAUAUUCUCCUGAUUUCUCUCCAACUUGCUCCUGGAGGCCUUUCUGCUGUGGUUGAUGUGAACAAGCCUGGUUCUUUAUAUCACCUCCAUGCAAUUUGGAUCUACUAGAUUGCACAUCAGGUUAGAAACAGGAGUAUUUCAUUGUUGGGAAAACAGUGAUCUGGGACUUUUCAGAUGCCAAAAGUCCCUGAUCUCUUUUGUAUGGAUAAUUUCAAUGUUUAUAUAUAUGCAAAUGAUAACAUUGGGGUUGGAGAAACGGUGGGUUCCUGGGCUGCGAUACGAGGGGUUUGCUGCGAGGUGGGGGCUUCUGAAAUGGCAGAGGCUUGGGGUCAUAGUCUGAAGAAGGUGGAAGCUCUGUCUUGAAGACUGUUGUCACAGUCUGGAGGAGAAAAAUCGUACUGAAUUUGAGCUGUGGGACAGAAGAGGGAAAAAUCUGCCUCACAAGGUGUUGAAGCAAUUUAUUUUGGGGACCUGAAGGAUUGAAGUAACUUAUUUCACAUGACUGUCACUCCCCCAUCCCAUGCACAUGACCACAUGCAACAGCCAAUUUUGCUGAUGGAAACGUGGGAGCUCUGUCUUCUGCCCCACCUGUAUCUCAUCCUUAUACUUGUCCAUACAGUAUCAUAUACCCUAUGGCAUCAUAUAAUUAAAACAGAUGAUUAUGCAGAUGCAAAUGGAUCCCUAAGGAAACUUAGCACAUGGGCAUAACACCACAGGCAAGUUUUAACUGAUU
rnacentral:lncRNA from 1 species